rnacentral:pre_miRNA from 1 species
AGCUUUCUGAAUCCGUGCUGGGAUUUCGUCCGAUACCAGCCUAUUAGGGCUGGUCAGACUUACAAGAUAAGUGAAGUU